CGAUUGCAGGUGCGCGCCGCCACGCCUGACUGGUUUUCGUAUUUUUUUGGUGGAGACGGGGUUUCGCUGUGUUGGCCAGGCUGGUCUCCAGCUCCUAACCGCGAGUGAUCCGCCAGCCUUGGCCUCCCGAGGUGCCAGGAUGGCAGACGGAGUCGCGUUCACUCAGUGCUCAAUGGUGCCCAGGCUGGAGUGCAGUGGCAUGAUCUCGGCUCGCUACAACCUCCACCUCCCAGCUGCCUGCCUUGGCCCCCCAAAGUGCCGAGAUUGCAGCCUCUGCCUGGCCACCACCCCGUCUGGGAAGUGAGGAGCGUCUCUGCCUGGCCGCCCAUCGUCUGGGAUGUGAGGAGCCUCUCUGACUGGCUGCCCAGUCUGGAAAGUGAGGAGCGUCUCUGCCCGGCCGCCAUCCCAUCUAGGAAGUGAGGAGCGUCUCUGCCAGGCCGCCCAUCGUCUGAGAUGUGGGGAGCGCCUCUGCCCUGCCGCCCCGUCUGGGAUGUGAGGAGCGUCUCUGCCCGGCUGACCCGUCUGAGAAGUGAGGAGACCCUCUGCCUGGCAACCGCCCCGUCUGAGAAGGCUGCGCAAUGCCUGCCGUGGAAUCAGUGAUCAAUACAUCCUUGCUGAAAGAAUGAAUAGAUGAAGGCCUGGGAAUAACUGAGACGUGUCCACGCUAUGGAAAAACUACCCUAAUGUUGUCUCCAACCAGUCUGCUUUCUAUUUCACCUUCGUAAACAGUGCCCAUCAUCAGAAGAGGAGAAAAUGGUAAAAACCAUCCUGCAUAGAUGAUUUUAUGUGCAUAAGAUUAUCAGAAUAGGAGAGGUGAGAAAAGCAUUUUUAAAGAUAGCAACUUUGUCUUUCACCCCUCUCUCAAAUCUAAAUACUCUGAUUUUGUUUCUUCUCCAAAUAAAAUCUUUAUAAAAUGAAAUUCAACAAAUUACCACUUUUGAUUAUCCAGAACUUUUUAUUCUUUCCUAAGAACUAGUCAAACCACAACUGAACCAGGAGAUAGCAAAGAUUUAUAUGACCCCUAUCACCCACCAAAAGCAACAUUUGGGCUUCAUUCCUGGGUAGCAGAUUUGAACUAAUCUAAUGCCAAUUUGUGCUUAUAAGGAAAAGUAUUUACUGAGUAUCUAUAGUGUGUAAUAUCCUUCAAGUGAUAUAGAAGGCAAGAAAUACAGGAUAAAGACUUAGACUAUUCAAGGAGCUUACAAUUUAGCUGGGGAGCUAAGACACAUGUGGAAAUAACCAUAAAACACCACAGUGAUUGAUUCAACAAAGCAAAGCAUAAACACAGACAAGUUAACGGGCAGAAAAUAAGUGUUACACUUUAGAAGAUUGCAUAAUAAAUCUCCCUCUUACUAAAGAGAGCAAACCAAAAUGCAAAAUAUUUUAAGGAGAAUUCUAAAUAAUAAAUUACAUAUUUUAAUGGGCAGUUACAAAAUUAUGUUAUUUAUCAAAAAUGCUACAUUAAGAAUAUUGGCCAUGAAAAGAUAGAUUCCCAAAUUUACAGGAAAGGAAUUUUUGACCCCAUGCUAUUAGCUUUUUAAGAAGGUAAUUUGCUUUUUUAUAUCAAGUAGCUCUUCAUGGAUUACUUCUAUAACUUAAGUAAUUUUUUUUAAUAUUUAGGGACAAAGCCUAAUUUAGUUUUCUGAUCUCCUCCUGAAGCCUAUUUGGUAUACUUUCUCAACAGUCUUCAUGUUAAUAGGGCAUAUUAAACUGAAUUUGGACAAAUGUUAAGAAUGGAAUAUUUGAAUUGAAUAAGAAUGGAAUAUAAUAAUAACCUUCUUAUGCUUUGAUAAGUGCCCAUUCACGUACCGUAAGGCAAAGCACAACGAGUUGGAAAAUAAAUGAAUUCUGACACAUCAAAAGCAUUUUCUUUCCUCUGAUAUUUUAUCUGUUUGUGGAUUUUGAAAUACUGUAGAAUAUUAUCAUGAAUUCCAAGUAUAAUUAUGUGUUUCUAGAAAAGAGACAUCAUUAUUUGAUAGCAUAAAUGGCUUUGGUAUGAUAUCUGAUGUCAUUUCCCCCACUCUGUUCUCGUAAGUCAUCCUAAUUGAACACUUGGAGGAAACUCAGGCCCUGUCCACAUAGGCAAAAUCAGAAAUGGCAUUAAAGCUAUGAUAGAACAUCCUACUAAAGAAUUACUUCUACAUGAUAAUUAAAUCAAAAACCAGACUUAAAGGUGGGGGACAAGCACUAAUCUCAUACUCUUUUCUCAUAAAGAAAAUGACAUCACCCCAAAACACAAGGGUUUUGUCUUUCAUAAGAUGCAGAACAAAAGAAGGAUCAUGCUCACAUCCUAAUCUUCUUGAUUUCACUCCAGAUGGAAAAUAGAGGCAGGAAACUCUGAGUAUGACAUCAUAUCAGGAUAAUACCAAUUCACUCCUUCAACUAGAAGAUUAAUACACUCACACUGGGCAAAAUAUGGCAUGUAUCAUUAUCCCUGGGCACUGAUUUUUGUUUAAACAACUAUUC
rnacentral:lncRNA from 1 species